rnacentral:rRNA from 4 species
GCGACCCCAGGUUGGGCGGGUU